CCUUUUUAUACUGCAGCACAGAGUGUGAAAGAUCUGUUCUCUGAAACAGCACAAAAACAAAACCACAAAUACAAAAUAUUUAAAUUAUUCUUGGGGUCAUUAGGUACUCUUUAACAAGAGGGGACCUAGAUUGGACUAAUUAAAAUAACAAGAGUUCGUCUGUUACUCUAUAGGAACUCUUGAAGACAAUAUAGUGCAGUUUCUUACUGCAUGUUGACGCAACAAACGGACCCCCAUAAUCCCUGAUUGAUAUAGGGCUUUCAUUUAGUAGCCCCCAUGUCCUAUAUACUUAUGUGUGGGGAAGCAAAGGGUAUUCCACCAGCUAAAUGUUGCUACUCCUUUCCUUACACUGUGUGUGUUGGAAGAAAAAUAACAAGUUUAUGUUUGGAUGGGGAGGUCUCCAACGCACUGGGCCACAACUGACAGAACUAGGGAAUGUGCAGACCCCAAUAUCCUUGGGUCAGGGGAUUCUUUGAACCACCUAUUCCUAAUACACCAACUGCCACUAGCCGACUACAUGCUUAAUGGAUGACCAGUUCACUGGUCCUAAGUGUUUAACUUGUUCAGGCCUACAAUUCGGUGUAGUCUUUGUUAUUUUGACAUGUCACUAGUCUGCAAAUGGUUGUAGCUAGCCAAUCACAAUACAUCACUUGUUUUUCAUUCCUGCAAGGGGUGACCCAGUGACAUCAUCAGUCAGGAAUCCUCAAUAUAGUAGUCUGUUUGUGGGAGUUUCUGGAUGACAGUACUAUUUUAAGAUGUCUUCCAUUGCCUGCAGAAAAAAUAAUAAUUUGCAUACUAGAUUCGUAUUCCCACUUCCUGAUAAUUAUCCUUUGAAGAGAAACAUUAAGAGGGUAAUUCGCUAUAGUCAUGAUGUUGUCAGUAUGCCAGUGUCGAUGAAAAUGCCUAAAUUCUGACCGGAAUAGCAAUUUGCAUAUUUACUUAACCCAUUUCUGAUCUAUUUAGCUGCAUCUGUAUUAUUUCGCCAGAGGCAUUCAGGGGGAUAUAAAAUCAGUCCUUUCGCAUUUAAAGCCCAUAAAAGGUAUCUGAUUCGGAAUAUGUACAAUGCACUAAUUAAUGAAGAAAAAUGAAAAGUUAUGCACUUUGGGGUAAAGAAUGCACAAACAACUUACACCCUAAAUGUUAGUGAAUUAGGGA